AGGACGAACGCUGGCGGCGCGCCUAAAACAUGCAAGUCGAACGAGAAGCCCGGGCUUGCCCGGGCGGACAGUGGCGAACGGGUGAGUAACACGUGAGGAACCUGCCCCGAAGACCGGGACAACAUCGGGAAACCGUUGCUAAUACCGGAUACCUUCGCUUGAUCGCAUGGUCGAGCGAAGAAAUGGAUUCCGCUUCGGGAUGGCCUCGCGGCCUAUCAGCUUGUUGGUGAGGUAAUGGCUCACCAAGGCAACGACGGGUAGCUGGUCUGAGAGGAUGUCCAGCCACACUGGGACUGAGACACGGCCCAGACUCCUACGGGAGGCAGCAGUUAGGAAUCUUGCGCAAUGGGCGAAAGCCUGACGCAGCGACGCCGCGUGCGGGAUGAAUGCCUUCGGGUUGUAAACCGCUUUCAGCAGGGACGAAUUGACGGUACCUGCAGAAGAAGCCCGGCACUACGCGCCAGCAGCCGC
rnacentral:rRNA from 1 species